UGACACUGAGGCACGAAAGCGUGGGGAGCAAACAGGAUUAGAUACCCUGGUAGUCCACGCCCUAAACGAUGCGUGCUGAAUGUUGGAUGCUUUCCGCCCCUCAGUGCCGCAGCUAACGCGUUAAGUUCUCCGCCUGGGGAGUACGGUCGCAAGACUGAAACUCAAAGGAAUUGACGGGGGCCCGCACAAGCGGUGGAGUAUGUGGUUUAAUUCGAUGCAACGCGAAGAACCUUACCUGGUCUUGAC
rnacentral:rRNA from 1 species